rnacentral:rRNA from 1 species
GAGUUCAUAUCGACGGCGGUGUUUGGCACCUCGAUGUCGGCUCAUCACAUCCUGGGGCUGAAGUAGGUCCCAAGGGUAUGGCUGUUCGCCAUUUAAAGUGGUACGCGAGCUGGGUUUAGAACGUCGUGAGACAGUUCGGUCCCUAUCUGCCGUGGGCGCUGGAGAAUUGAGGGGGGUUGCUCCUAGUACGAGAGGACCGGAGUGAACGCAUCACUGGUGUUCGGGUUGUCAUGCCAAUGGCAUUGCCCGGUAGCUAAAUGCGGAAGAGAUAAGUGCUGAAAGCAUCUAAGCACGAAACUUGCCCCGAGAUGAGUUCUCCCUGAGACUAUAAGUCUCCUGAAGGAACGUUGAAGACGACGACGUUGAUAGGCCGGGUGUGUAAGCGCAGCGAUGCGUUGAGCGAACCGGUACUAAUGAACCGUGAGGCUGAACCUU